rnacentral:rRNA from 1 species
GUCCACACCGUAAACGAUGAUUACUAGGUGUUGGAGGAUUGACCCUUCAGUGCCGCAGUUAACACAAUAAGUAAUCCACCUGGGAGUACGACCGCAAGGUUGAAACUCAAAGGAAUUGACGGGGCCCGCACAAGCAGUGGAGUAUGUGGUUUAAUUCGACGCAACGCGAAGAACCUUACCAAGUCUUGACAUCCUGCGACGGACAUAGAAAUAUGUCUUUCCUUCGGGACGCAGAGACAGGUGGUGCAUGGUUGUCGU